rnacentral:misc_RNA from 1 species
GAAAUGCGAUAAGUAAUGCGAAUUGCAGAAUUCCGUGAGUCAUCGAAUCUUUGAACGCACAUUGCGCCCUCUGGUAUUCCGGAGGGCAUGCCUGUCCGAGCGUCAUUAGUCCAUCUCAAGCCCGGCUUGUCGUUGGGUCUCACCGCCCCAAGGCGGUGGGCCCGAAAUUUAAUGACGGGGUCCGACGCCCGUGGAUGCAGCGAGCUUUACAGCACGUGUCCCGACGUCGUCGCGGCCUUGUCUUCAACCUCAUUUUCUCUAGGUUGACCUCGGAUCAGACAGGACUACCCGCUGAACUUAA